rnacentral:rRNA from 1 species
UACGUAGGGUGCAAGCGUUGUCCGGAAUUAUUGGGCGUAAAGAGCUCGUAGGCGGUUUGUCGCGUCUGCUGUGAAAACCCGAGGCUCAACCUCGGGCCUGCAGUGGGUACGGGCAGACUAGAGUGCGGUAGGGGAGAUUGGAAUUCCUGGUGUAGCGGUGGAAUGCGCAGAUAUCAGGAGGAACACCGAUGGCGAAGGCAGGUCACUGGGCCGCAACUGACGCUGAGGAGCGAAAGCGUGGGGAGCAAACAGG